rnacentral:rRNA from 1 species
GUCUCCCCUUUGAUGAUCUUGACUAUUCUUGAAAGCUAAACAGGACUGAGCUGGUUAGGACUAGGAUGAGAGACUACUUGGGGAUUUCCAGUGCAGUAGACU